rnacentral:rRNA from 1 species
AGAGUUUGAUCCUGGCUCAGGAUGAAUGCUAGCGGCGUGCUUGAGAUAUGCAAGUCGAGCGCCCCAUUUGACCGCAAGGUUGAGUGGGAGCGGCGGACGGCUGAGUAAUAUACAGGAACCUGCCCCUAGGUAGAGGAUAGUCCAGCGAAAGUUGGAGUAAUACUUUAUGGUCCCUCCGAUUCGGAGGGUAAAGGACAUAACUGUCCGCCAAGGGAUGGGCCUGUAUCCUAUCAGGUAGUUGGUAAGGUAAUGGCUUACCAAGCCUAUGACGGGUAGCUGAUCUUAGAGGAUGAUCAGCCAGAGGGGGACUGAGACACGGCCCCCACUCNNNNNNNNNNNNNNNNNNNNNNNNNNNNNNNNNNNNNNNNNNNNNNNNNNNNNNNGCGACGCCGCGUGUAGGAUUAAGCUUUUCGGAGUGUAAACUACUGUGGCAGGGGAAGAAGUUCCGAUGUAAGUCGGGAUUGACGGUACCCUGCUAGAAAGGAGCCGCUAACUGCGUGCCAGAAGCGUCGGUAAUACGUGGGCUCCAAGCAUUAUCCGGUUUUAUUGGGCGUAAAGGGUCGUGUAGGCGGCUUGAUAAGUUAUCUUUGAAAGUCCAAUGCUUAACAUUGAAAUUGGAGAUAAGACUGUCAAACUAGAGUUUUCUUUAGGGGGAUUGGAACUCAAGGAGGAGUAGUGAAAUGCGUUGAUACCUUGGGGAACACCGAUGGCGAAGGCAAGUCCCUGGGAGAAAACUGACGCUGAGACACGAAAGCUAGGGGAGCGAAGCAGAUUAGAGACCUGCGUAGUCCUAGCCCUAAACGAAUGUCUGCUACCUGCAUGAUUUUUGUAUUUAUACAAUUUCGUGUGGGAAAGGUAACCCGUUAAGCAGACCGCCUGGGGAGUACGACCGCAAGGUUAAAACUCAAAGGAAUUGGCGGGGAGGCACACAACCAGUGGAACAUGUGGUUCAAUUCGAUACGAACCGAAGAACCUCACCAAGGUUUGACAUACAAGCGUCCUAUUCCCUGGAAACAGGGGAAAUUCGCAAGAAGGCUUGCACAGGUGCUGCAUGGCUGUCGUCAGCUCGUUCCGUGAGGAGUGCCCUUAAGUGGGACAACGAGCGCAACCCCUAUCUUGUGUUAUAUUUGUCACAAGAAACGGUCCCAGCUUCGCUGGGAAGGAAGGAGGGGCAGACGUCAAGUCAGCAUGGUCCUUAUACCUUGGGCUACACACAUGUUACAAUGAAGGGAACAAUGUGUCUUGCCACGUCGUAAGACGGAGCAAAUCACAAAAUCCAUUCUCAGUGGGGGAUUGGGGUCUGCAACUCGACCCCAUGAACGCGGAAUUGGUAGUAAUCGUGGGUCAGUCAUACCACGGUGAAUACGUUCUUGCCUCUUGCACACACCGCCCGUCAAGCCAACAAAGUCGAGCAUAUUUGAACUCUGAUUUAUCAGAGGAGGAUACGUCCGGCGAUGGGGGUUAAGUCGUAACAAGGUAACC